UUUAUGGAGAGUUUGAUCCUGGCUCAGGAUGAACGCUGGCGGCGUGCCUAAUACAUGCAAGUCGAGCGAACGGACGAGAAGCUUGCUUCUCUGAUGUUAGCGGCGGACGGGUGAGUAACACGUGGAUAACCUACCUAUAAGACUGGGAUAACUUCGGGAAACCGGAGCUAAUACCGGAUAAUAUUUUGAACCGCAUGGUUCAAAAGUGAAAGACGGUCUUGCUGUCACUUAUAGAUGGAUCCGCGCUGCAUUAGCUAGUUGGUAAGGUAACGGCUUACCAAGGCAACGAUGCAUAGCCGACCUGAGAGGGUGAUCGGCCACACUGGAACUGAGACACGGUCCAGACUCCUACGGGAGGCAGCAGUAGGGAAUCUUCCGCAAUGGGCGAAAGCCUGACGGAGCAACGCCGCGUGAGUGAUGAAGGUCUUCGGAUCGUAAAACUCUGUUAUUAGGGAAGAACAUAUGUGUAAGUAACUGUGCACAUCUUGACGGUACCUAAUCAGAAAGCCACGGCUAACUACGUGCCAGCAGCCGCGGUAAUACGUAGGUGGCAAGCGUUAUCCGGAAUUAUUGGGCGUAAAGCGCGCGUAGGCGGUUUUUUAAGUCUGAUGUGAAAGCCCACGGCUCAACCGUGGAGGGUCAUUGGAAACUGGAAAACUUGAGUGCAGAAGAGGAAAGUGGAAUUCCAUGUGUAGCGGUGAAAUGCGCAGAGAUAUGGAGGAACACCAGUGGCGAAGGCGACUUUCUGGUCUGUAACUGACGCUGAUGUGCGAAAGCGUGGGGAUCAAACAGGAUUAGAUACCCUGGUAGUCCACGCCGUAAACGAUGAGUGCUAAGUGUUAGGGGUUUCCGCCCCUUAGUGCUGCAGCUAACGCAUUAAGCACUCCGCCUGGGGAGUACGACCGCAAGGUUGAAACUCAAAGGAAUUGACGGGACCCGCACAAGCGGUGGAGCAUGUGGUUUAAUUCGAAGCAACGCGAAGAACCUUACCAAAUCUUGACAUCCUUUGACAACUCUAGAGAUAGAGCUUUCCCCUUCGGGGACAAAGUGACAGGUGGUGCAUGGUUGUCGUCAGCUCGUGUCGUGAGAUGUUGGGUUAAGUCCCGCAACGAGCGCAACCCUUAAGCUUAGUUGCCAUCAUUAAGUUGGGCACUCUAAGUUGACUGCCGGUGACAAACCGGAGGAAGGUGGGGAUGACGUCAAAUCAUCAUGCCCCUUAUGAUUUGGGCUACACACGUGCUACAAUGGACAAUACAAAGGGCAGCGAAACCGUGAGGUCAAGCAAAUCCCAUAAAGUUGUUCUCAGUUCGGAUUGUAGUCUGCAACUCGACUACAUGAAGCUGGAAUCGCUAGUAAUCGUAGAUCAGCAUGCUACGGUGAAUACGUUCCCGGGUCUUGUACACACCGCCCGUCACACCACGAGAGUUUGUAACACCCGAAGCCGGUGGAGCAACCUUUUAGGAGCUAGCCGUCGAAGGUGGGACAAAUGAUUGGGGUGAAGUCGUAACAAGGUAGCCGUAUCGGAAGGUGCGGCUGGAUCACCUCCUUUCU
rnacentral:rRNA from 1 species